UGGUCUGAUGAUGACUAUCCAUGGCAUAUGAGUUGUGUACGAUGAAUACGUGUCUGGAACUCUGAGGUCUGA